AGGGUUUGAUUCUGGCUCAGGAUGAACGCUGGCGGCGUGCUUAACACAUGCAAGUCGAGCGAAGCAUUUUUAAUGAAGUUUUCGGAUGGAUUUAGAUUUGACUUAGCGGCGGACGGGUGAGUAACGCGUGGGUAACCUGCCUUAUACUGGGGGAUAACAGUUAGAAAUGACUGCUAAUACCGCAUAAGCGCACAGUGCCGCAUGGCACGGUGUGAAAAACUCCGGUGGUGUAAGAUGGACCCGCGUCUGAUUAGGUAGUUGGUAGGGUAACGGCCUACCAAGCCGACGAUCAGUAGCCGACCUGAGAGGGUGACCGGCCACAUUGGGACUGAGACACGGCCCAA
rnacentral:rRNA from 1 species